rnacentral:rRNA from 1 species
AAGUCGAGCGGGUAGAGAGAAGCUUGCUUCUCUUGAGAGCGGCGGACGGGUGAGUAAUGCCUAGGAAUCUGCCUGGUAGUGGGGGAUAACGUUCGGAAACGGACGCUAAUACCGCAUACGUCCUACGGGAGAAAGCAGGGGACCUUCGGGCCUUGCGCUAUCAGAUGAGCCUAGGUCGGAUUAGCUAGUUGGUGAGGUAAUGGCUCACCAAGGCGACGAUCCGUAACUGGUCUGAGAGGAUGAUCAGUCACACUGGAACUGAGACACGGUCCAGACUCCUACGGGAGGCAGCAGUGGGGAAUAUUGGACAAUGGGCGAAAGCCCGAUCCAGCCAUGCCGCGUGUGUGAAGAAGGUCUUCGGAUUGUAAAGCACUUUAAGUUGGGAGGAAGGGCAGUAAAUUAAUACUUUGCUGUUUUGACGUUACCGACAGAAUAAGCACCGGCUAACUCUGUGCCAGCAGCCGCGGUAAU